CAGAGUAGGAACAGCGCGUAAAGUGUUACAGGAUGGGAAGUUGCCUGUAAACGAAAGGCUCGGCCAUGCGGUCUAAAGCCUGCGGUGCUGUCUCCGCGUCCGCUGC
rnacentral:ncRNA from 1 species